rnacentral:rRNA from 1 species
UACGUAGGGUGCGAGCGUUAAUCGGAAUUACUGGGCGUAAAGCGUGCGCAGGCGGCGCGUUAAGACAGGUGUGAAAGCCCCGAGCUUAAUUUGGGAAUUGCGUUUGUGACUGGCGUGCUGGAGUGUGGCAGAGGGAGGUGGAAUUCCACGUGUAGCAGUGAAAUGCGUAGAGAUCCGGAGGAACACCAGUGGCGAAGGCGACACGCUGGGCCGUACCUGACACUGAUGCGCGACAGCAUGGGGAGCAAACAGG